GCCCUUGUUGACUCCACGGUAACAGUCUCUUAGUGAAUGAUUCCCAGGGCAAGCAUGCUGGGUUGUCCACCUCUGUUCAAGUCAACCAUUUUCCUUCCUAAAUCGAAGAAACUGUUCUUCCUCGUUCUAGAACUGUUACCUUCUUCUUGGGCUUUUAACACCUUAUACUUUAUUUGACUGACCACUUCCCCAACAGGAUGGUGUCACUCUGACUUCUACUGUUGAUUUUUUGAAAAGAGUAAGAGGAGAGAGGAAGAGUGUGGCACUGCAUGCUCCUUUAACUACUGGCCCUUGGCCCAGCAGGACAAGUAAUCCUAGCACAAUCUUCCCAGGAUAGAGAACUGAGAGCCCAGAGCUGAGAGGAUACAUAAAAGACCACCACAAAAAAAGUCUCAGAAGAUGGGAUGAAAGAUCAAGAAAGAUGGACUUCUAGAUGCUAGACCCUAUGGUCCCUCUUCCUCACAUAAGACAAGCUACCUCAUACCCUCCACGCACUGGAUGUUCCGCUCACGGUCAAGUUCCUGCAGGAACUUCCUCGAGGUCCCAAGUCCUGCUCCUGGUUUGCUGGCUUGCUCGUGUAAACCGCCUUAUAUUAUUUUUUUUUCUAAAAAUACUCCAAAGCAAUUGAAAGAGUCCCUUCUCCCACCAGCCAGCCCUGGCCCCAGCCCCAGCCCCAGCCCCGGGGAGCGGGCGGGUAGGCGGGGAGGUGGGCCACUGCUUUAUUAAACA
rnacentral:lncRNA from 1 species